rnacentral:tRNA from 1 species
GCCCAUCUAGUGCUCGUGGUCUCGACACGCUCCCCUGGUAUGGGAGAGAGGAGGGUUCGAAUCCCUCGGUGGGCU